rnacentral:misc_RNA from 1 species
CACCAAUCGAGCCUGGCUCGGUAUUGGGCAACGCGGUCCGCCGCGUGCCUCAAAUCGACCGGCUGGGUCUUCUGUCCCCUAAGCGUUGUGGAAACUAUUCGCUAAAGGGUGCUCGGGAGGCUACGCCGUAAAACAAACCCAUUUCUAA